rnacentral:rRNA from 1 species
AUUAAACGCUGGCGGAAUGCUUUACACAUGCAAGUCGAACGGCAGCACGGACCUCGGUCUGGUGGCGAGUGGCGAACGGGUGAGUAAUGUAUCGGAACGUGCCCAGUCGUGGGGGAUAACGUAGUGAAAAUUACGCUAAUACCGCAUACGAUCUAUGGAUGAAAGCGGGGGAUCGCAAGACCUCGCGCGACUGGAGCGGCCGAUAUCAGAUUAGGUAGUUGGUGGGGUAAAGGCCCACCAAGCCAACGAUCUGUAGCUGGUCUGAGAGGACGACCAGCCACACUGGAACUGAGACACGGUACAGACUCCUACGGGAGGCAGCAGUGGGGAAUUUUGGACAAUGGGCGAAAGCCUGAUCCAGCCAUUCCGCGUGCAGGAUGAAGGCCCUCGGGUUGUAAACUGCUUUUGUACAGAACGAAAAGGUUUCUACUAAUACUAGGAGCUCAUGACGGUACUGUAAGAAUAAGCACCGGCUAACUACGUGCCAGCCGCCGCAGUAA